rnacentral:tRNA from 1 species
GGGGGCGUGAUGGAACGGCAGACAUAUGGGAUUUAAAAUCCUAUGGCCGCAAGGCCGUGCGGGUUCGAGUCCCGCCGCCCCCACCA